rnacentral:rRNA from 1 species
UACGUAGGGGGCAAGCGUUGUCCGGUUUUAUUGGGCGUAAAGAGCGUGUAGGCGGCCAGGUAGGUCAGCUGUGAAAACUCGAGGCUUAACCUCGAGACGCCGGCUGAAACCCUCUGGCUAGAGUCCGGAAGAGGAGAGCGGAAUUCCUGGUGUAGCGGUGAAAUGCGCAGAUAUCAGGAAGAACACCCGUGGCGAAGGCGGCUCUCUGGGACGGUACUGACGCUGAGACGCGAAAGCGUGGGGAGCGAACAGG